CACGCCGUAAACGGUGGAUGCUGGAUGUGGGGCCCGUUCCACGGGUUCCGUGUCGGAGCUAACGCGUUAAGCAUCCCGCCUGGGGAGUACGGCCGCAAGGCUAAAACUCAAAGAAAUUGACGGGGGCCCGCACAAGCGGCGGAGCAUGCGGAUUAAUUCGAUGCAACGCGAAGAACCUUACCUGGGCUUGACAUGUUCCCGACGGUCGUAGAGAUACGGCUUCCCUUCGGGGCGGGUUCACAGGUGG
rnacentral:rRNA from 2 species